rnacentral:tRNA from 1 species
GCCGCGGUGGUGGAAUGGUAUACACAGGGGACUUAAAAUCCCUGCCAGCAAUGGCGUGAGAGUUCGACUCUCUCCCGCGGCA